rnacentral:rRNA from 1 species
UACGGGAGGCAGCAGUGAGGAAUAUUGGUCAAUGGACGCAAGUCUGAACCAGCCAAGUAGCGUGCAGGAUGACGGCCCUAUGGGUUGUAAACUGCUUUUAUAUGGGGAUAAAGUGGGGAACGUGUUCCCUUUUGCAGGUACCAUAUGAAUAAGGACCGGCUAAUUCCGUGCCAGCAGCCGCGGUAAUACGGAAGGUUCGGGCGUUAUCCGGAUUUAUUGGGUUUAAAGGGAGCGUAGGCGGUUUGGUAAGUGUGUUGUGAAAUGUAGUAGCUCAACUUCUAGAUUGCAGCGCGAACUGUCAGACUUGAGUGCGCACAAGGUAGGCGGAAUUCAUGGUGUAGCGGUGAAAUGCUUAGAUAUCAUGAAGAACUCCGAUUGGGAAGGCAGCUUACGGGAGCGCAACUGACGUUGAAGCUGGAAGGUGCGGGUAUCGAACAGGAUUAGAUACCCUGGUAGUCCGCACAGUAAACGAUGGAUGCCCGCUGUUAGCACCUAGUGUUAGCGGCUAAGCGAAAGCAUUAAGCAUCCCACCUGG